UACGGAGGGGGCUAGCGUUGUUCGGAAUUACUGGGCGUAAAGCGCGCGUAGGCGGACUGGAAAGUUGGGGGUGAAAUCCCGGGGCUCAACCCCGGAACUGCCUUCAAAACUAUCAGUCUGGAGUCCGAGAGAGGUGAGUGGAAUUCCGAGUGUAGAGGUGAAAUUCGUAGAUAUUCGGAGGAACACCAGUGGCGAAGGCGGCUCACUGGCUCGGUACUGACGCUGAGGUGCGAAAGCGUGGGGAGCAAACAGG
rnacentral:rRNA from 1 species